AGAGCACAGUCAUGCCCAGUGGCCUGAGGCACGUCCACCCUCUUCAGAAAUGCUCAGUAUCCCAUGCAAAAGCACAUUUUCAGAGGCCCCCUCUGCCUCUACCCAACACAGAGAGAACACGAGGUCCUAGAUAAGGACUGUUGACUGGGGCAAGCGAAGAAGCCCUACAUUUCAAGCCUCCAAGGUUCUGAGAGUCCAAGAUCUGUCCAAGUAGAGACCUAAAUUACACACCAUUCAGCAAUAUGGCGCCAAUGGCAGAGGAGGGAUUUUCUAUGUCAAAGGAUUAGUGCCACUUGGAGAGCAACCAUUUUGCAGAAUGGCCAGAGGAAGUCAUGUCAAUGCCACUUGCUAAAAACUGCAUUAAAUUGCAGCUAACUGUAGCUACAUCAGCAAGUAGUGCCACUGCUCAGAGCUGUCCAGAACUACAAGAAGAGCCAUCCACUGGGGAAGUCCUAAAGGGCAGCAUCUUUAGCAACAACUGACCAUAUAGCCUAGAAUGUAACUAUGUGACAAGACUCUACGUGGCUCUGUCAAAGAAGUUAUUCACCGGCAAGAAUGUUCAUUUUCUAAAAGUUCAAUGGUGUACAAUAAAUUAUCUUUGGAAUAUUUCCAUAUUGAAAUUAUUCAACAAUCUCUCUGUGAGUAGCUGACCAUCUCAUCUGCAGAUUUCUGUACCAAUGGCCUUAGUUCCACAUAAUCUAUCAGAAGAUAAGUGUUUUAAUGGCAAAAGUUCUUCAGACAGUCAGUGGUGAUCCAAGCCCAUGUUAACUUUUCACCGUAGGAUUAUAUGUUGGGACAGAAAAGAUGGACCUCAAAAAUUGGUGAAGAAUUGCAUUUAAGUUUUCUUCAUUUCUAAACAUUUCAUUAUCAGAUUCUUGACAAAAUAAUUGUGAGAUUUCCAUACAACAGUCCUCAUAGACCACCAUCUGGACUUCAAAGAACUUUCCUACUGGGACACUCUAACAACUUCUUACAGAUUAGUUUCCUAAUCUAUACAUUUUCCAUCCUUCAUACAGCAAAAUUUCACUUAAUCUCAUUGUUCAGAUUGAUUAUUUGUCAGCUUCUCAUUGGUACAGUUGAUCAUUGACUAUACUGAUGGCUAAAACAGCAGAAUGUGAAAAAGAUUCCAGCUGAAGCAUCAAGUAUGAAGUAUUCCAGAAAGUGGAGCUAAAGCAAAUAUUCAGGAAAACACAGCCAGUAAUCUAGAUUAAAAAGUGUGGAGAUUUAGAAUGAUUACUGUUCAUCAUUAAUUCUUACUGAUGCAUUCAACAUACAUUUAGUAAAACAUACAUAGACUAUUUAUUAGUUUUGCAUGUUCUCAGUGACAUGAUCUUGCUAUAACAAUGAGUAAUUUUCAACAUAGGAAUCAAAGAUUAAGGUCUUCAAAUUAUUGAAAAAACUGUAUGUCCCUGGAGGGGGGGGGGUAACUUUUGUCUUUUUUUUUUUCUCUUGACUUUGUCUCAGUACCUAGUACAGGUUCUUACAAAGUCUAUGUGCUUAAUAAAUGCUUGUUGGUUGAUUUACUGAUUGAUUAAUUUGUUAAAUUGAAUGAAAUAGAAUUUUAAAACUAGAACCUUAAAACUGGAAAGAAUCCAAGUCUUUAAUUAUACAGAUGAGGAAAUGGAGAUUCAAAGAUGGUAUGUGACUUCCCCAUCAUCAUGUUUCUGGUUAGUGGUCCAGGUUAGUGCUCCCAUGCUCAAUUGUUCUCUUCCUGUGUCUCUCUCGGGCUCUGUCUCUGUUUCUCUAUCUCUAUCUCUGUCUCCUGAGGUUAUUGUUAUUUUCUUGGUAAAGGCAAUUCUUGUUGAAGAAAUACUUCUGCCAAUGAAGUGCAGCAACUGUUCUGCAACUCGGCACCUUAGAGUCUGGAGGCACAAAGAGAUUCAGUAAUUUUCCCAGGGUCAAAUAGCCAUGGGUGAGAGGCACAAUUUGAACCCAGACCUAGGUAUUCCUUACUCUGAAACUGGAUUGCUAUCCGUUCAUUCCACACCAUUCUCCUAUUUAUCAGAGCUUCAUUAAUCAGAUAUCAUUUGGAGUGUGUUAUGAUAUAUUCAAAAUUACUAUCAUUUUAAACUUAAAUUCAACUGUAUGGUCUCAUUUUUAAAUCCAUAAAUAAACAUUGGAAAUAUAAUUUCAUGCAACAUAUGCAAUGAAAGAUGUAAAAUGCUGAUGCCCUGUUCAAUACAACAAACAUUUAUGAUGUACUUACUACUUAUGCAGCAUUAUGUGGGGCAUUAAAAGGAAUAAACUAUGAGUAUGGCACAAUA